UACGGAGGGUGCAAGCGUUAUCCGGAUUUAUUGGGUUUAAAGGGUCCGUAGGCGGAUCUGUAAGUCAGUGGUGAAAUCUCACAGCUUAACUGUGAAACUGCCAUUGAUACCGCAGGUCUUGAGUGUUAUUGAAGUAGCUGGAAUAAGUAGUGUAGCGGUGAAAUGCAUAGAUAUUACUUAGAACACCAAUUGCGAAGGCAGGUUACUAAGCAACAACUGACGCUGAUGGACGAAAGCGUGGGGAGCGAACAGG
rnacentral:rRNA from 1 species